GCGUCGGUGGUAGAGUGGUCGAUUACACGAGACUGUAAAUCUCGCGCCUUAUGGCUUCGCUGGUUCGAAUCCAGCCCGGCGCA
rnacentral:tRNA from 1 species